GACGAACGCUGGCGGCGUGCCUAAUACAUGCAAGUUGAGCGAUGAAGCUUGGUGCUUGCACCAAUUUGAAGAGCAGCGAACGGGUGAGUAACGCGUGGGGAAUCUGCCUUUGAGCGGGGGACAACAUUUGGAAACGAAUGCUAAUACCGCAUAACAACUUUAAACAUAAGUUUUAAGUUUGAAAGAUGCAAUUGCAUGACUCAAAGAUGAUCCCGCGUUGUAUUAGCUAGUUGGUGAGGUAAAGGCUCACCAAGGCGAUGAUACAUAGCCGACCUGAGAGGGUGAUCGGCCACAUUGGGACUGAGACACGGCCCAAACUCCUACGGGAGGCAGCAGUAGGGAAUCUUCGGCAAUGGACGAAAGUCCGACCGAGCAACGCCGCGUGAGUGAAGAAGGUUUUCGGAUCGUAAAACUCUGUUGGUAGAGAAGAACGUUGGUGAGAGUGGAAAGCUCAUCAAGUGACGGUAACUACCCAGAAAGGGACGGCUAACUACGCG
rnacentral:rRNA from 1 species